rnacentral:rRNA from 1 species
AGAACGAACGCUGGCGGCAUGCCUAAUACAUGCAAGUCGAACGAACACUUCGGUGUUAGUGGCGCACGGGUGCGUAACGCGUGGGAAUCUGCCCUUGGGUUCGGAAUAACAGUUGGAAACGACUGCUAAUACCGGAUGAUAUCGAAAGAUCAAAGAUUUAUCGCCCAGGGAUGAGCCCGCGUAGGAUUAGCUAGUUGGUGAGGUAAAGGCUCACCAAGGCGACGAU